UACGUAGGGCGCAAGCGUUUGUCCGGAAUUAUUGGGCGUAAAGAGCUCGUAGGCGGUCUGUCGCGUCGGUUGUGAAAACACAAGGCUCAACCUUGUGCCUGCAAUCGAUACGGGCAGACUAGAGUACUGCAGGGGAGACUGGAAUUCCUGGUGUAGCGGUGGAAUGCGCAGAUAUCGGGAGGAACACCUGUGGCGAAAGCGGCGCACUGGACCACAACUGACGCUGAGGCGCGAAAGCUAGGGGAGCAAACAGG
rnacentral:rRNA from 1 species